ensembl:lncRNA
CUACACACCCAUACUGCUCCAUUCUGUUGAAACUGGUCCAUACUGGUCCGUUGUGACUUAUACUGGUUUAUACUGGCUUAUACUGGUCUGUACUGGUCUGUACUGGUCAGUACUGGUUUAUAUAGGUCCAUACUGGUCUGUAGUGACUUAUACUGGUUUAUACUGGUCCAUACUGGUCCAUACUGGUCUGUACUGGUCCCUACACACCCAUACUGCUCCAUUCUGUUGAAACAGGUCCAUACUGGUCCGUAGUGACUUACACUGGUUUAUACUGGUUUCUAAUGGUUUCUACCGGUGCAUACUGGUGUCUACCGGUUCCUACCGGUCCGUACCGGUUCCUACUGGUUUCUACUGGUCCGUACUGGUUUCAGGGUGAGGCCAUCAAUCGCAUCGAGCUGCACAUCCUGCAGUCGGGGACGGCGGUGCACAAAGGGCAGCGGCAGCUCAGGACGGCGCGGGAACAGCAGGGCAAGGCCAGGAGGAAACGCUUCAUGAUGGCCGCCUGCCUCGUCCUCACCCUCGUUAUCCUCAUCACCAUCAUCGCUGCUUCAGUGACCGCCGGCUGAGCCCCGCCCCCUUGCUCGAUGCUGAUUGGCCGGUCCCGUGCCUUAGCCCCGCCCUCCCUCCAUUCGGAGGGUGCGUGUGGGUUGGGUUGAGCACUUCCUGUCUCUACUGACGGCACUUCCUGUUGCUGCUGACGUCACUUCCUGUCACUAAUGAUGUCACUUCCUGAAGCUGUGGAAGUCUCUUCCGGAACAAUACUGACAUCGCUGGCCACUUCUGAUGUCACUUCCUGUCGUUAUUGAUGUCACUUCCUGUCACUAUUGACAUCACUUCCUGUCUCUACUGACGUCGCUUCCUGCUGCUAUUGUUCUCACUUCCUGUUGUUACUGACGUCACUUCCUGCUGCUAAUGACGUCACUUCCUGCUGCUAAUGACGUCACUUCCGGUCGCGAUUGCUGUCACUUCCUGCUGCUAUUGAUCUCACUUCUUGUCACUCAUGACAUCAUUUCCUGUCGCUAUUGACGCCACUUCCUGUUGGUAUGGACACCACUUCCUUACGCUAUUAAUGUCACUUCCUGUCACUACCAACACCACUUCCUGACACUACUGACGUCACUUCCUGUCUUUACUGACCCCACUUCCUGGCGUCACUGACGUCACUUCCUGGCACUGCUGACGUCACUUCCUGGCGCCACUGACAUCUCUUCCUGUCUCUACUGACCUCAUUUCCUGUCUCUACUGACCUCACUUCCUGUCUCUAGUGAUCUGACUUCCUGGCGGCACUGAUGCCACUUCCUGUCACUACUGACCUCACUUCCUGGCGCCACUGACAUCACGUCCUGUCAGUACUUACAUCACUUCCUUUCACUACUGACCUCACUUCCUGGUAUUACUGAUGUCACUUCCUGUGUCUACUGACCUCACUUCCUGUCUCUACUGAUAUCACUUCCUGUCUCUACUGAUAUCACUUCCUGGCACUACUGAUGUCACUUCCUGUCAGUACUAACACCACUUCCUGGCGGCACUGACGUCACUUCCUGUCUCUACUGACCUCACUUCCUG